rnacentral:tRNA from 1 species
GCGAGUAUCGUAUAGUGGUAUUAUCCCUGCCUUCCAAGCAGGUGACACGGGUUCGAGUCCCGUUACUCGCUCCA